GGUUGUGGCUCAGCGGUAGAGCACUUGGCUAGCAUGUGCGAGGCCCUGGGUUCAACCCUCAGCACCA
rnacentral:tRNA from 1 species